GACGAACGCUGUCGACGCCCUUAACACAUGCAAGUCGAAUGGAAUGUCCUGCUUUCUCUGGUUGACUGCGGGUGCGCGCCUGGCGAACGGGUGAGUCACACGUUCGUGAUCUGCCCUCACCCUGCGCAUAAGCCUGGGCAACUUAGUCUCAUCCCCGUUCGAUCUGCAGGGUCGUGCCUGCGGUGGCCCUCCCUAUUCUCCAUGUUCGCGAUGAGCUCUCGGCCUAUCAGCUUGUUGGUGGGGUAAUGGCCUACCAAGGCGGCGACGGGUAGCCGGCCUGGGAGGGUGGACGGCCACAGUGGGACUGAGAUACGGCCCAGACUGCUACGGAAGGCAGCAGUGGGGAAUAUGGGACAAUGGGCGGAAGCCUGAUGCAGCGACGCCGCGUGGGGGAUGACGGCCUUCGGGUUGUAAACUCCUUUCGACCGCGAGGAAGCCACCUGGAUGGAAGGGUGGUGACGGUAGUGGUAGAAGAAGCACCGGCUAACUACGUG
rnacentral:rRNA from 1 species